rnacentral:rRNA from 1 species
UACGUAGGGGCGAGCGUUAUCCGGAAUUAUUGGGCGUAAAGAGCGCGCAGGUGGUUGAUUAAGUCUGAUGUGAAAGCCCACGGCUUAACCGUGGAGGGUCAUUGGAAACUGGUCGACUUGAGUGCAGAAGAGGGAAGUGGAAUUCCAUGUGUAGCGGUGAAAUGCGUAGAGAUAUGGAGGAACACCAGUGGCGAAGGCGGCUUCCUGGUCUGUAACUGACACUGAGGCGCGAAAGCGUGGGGAGCAAACAGGAUUAGAUACCCU